UACGGGGGGGGCGAGCGUUGUUCGGAAUUACUGGGCGUAAAGGGUUUGUAGGUAGUCUGCUAAGUCAGACGUGAAAUCCCUCAGCUUAACUGGGGAACUGCGUCUGAUACUGGCGGACUUGAGGACAGGAGAGGAACGCGGAAUUCCAGGUGUAGCGGUGAAAUGCGUAGAUAUCUGGAGGAACACCGGUGGCGAAGGCGGCAUCCUGGACCAACACUGACACUGAGAAGCGAAAGCCAGGGGAGCAAACGGG
rnacentral:rRNA from 1 species